rnacentral:lncRNA from 1 species
GGAGCAGGGACUGGAGGAUGUGGGGCCGAGCCAGAAAAAUGAGGCUGGGCCCCCUACUGGAGCACAGAAUGAGGUAAGAAAACAUUUCAAAUAAAGCAGCACCGUUCCUGCUCACCUUGGGGGCUCCCACCCCUCUACACAGCAUAAACUUCAAUCAGGGAGUCAAGUGGAGAGUAGUUUUGAUACACAGCUCACAGUUCCCAUCCUCCCCUACCCCAUUCUCUAAAACCAGGGGGUUUCUGGGGGGCCUUUCCUUGAAAGGUCCCAUCCUUCAAGCAACAAAAGGACAGCUCUUGUUGUGGUGACCGUCUAGAUAUUCACCACAACAAAACCCUGUGACUGCCCAACCCAACACAUUACUGACUACAGUUGGAAAAGGUCCCCUCUGGGCUCAACUUUGAAAGCUCAGCCUCCUGGCUAGCCAUGAUGCUCUUCCGUAGUUCACUUCUGCCCUGAAAAGUGGGAGGCAGGUAGUGACCUGGCAUAAUAACCA